AACGAACGCUGGCGGCAGGCUUAACACAUGCAAGUCGAACGCCCCGCAAGGGGAGUGGCAGACGGGUGGGUAACGCGUGGGAACAUACCCUUUCCUGCGGAAUAGCUCCGGGAAACUGGAAUUAAUACCGCAUACGCCCUACGGGGGAAAGAUUUAUCGGGGAAGGAUUGGCCCGCGUUGGAUUAGCUAGUUGGUGGGGUAAAGGCCUACCAAGGCGACGAUCCAUAGCUGGUCUGAGAGGAUGAUCAGCCACAUUGGGACUGAGACACGGCCCAAACUCCUACGGGAGGCAGCAGUGGGGAAUAUUGGACAAUGGGCGCAAGCCUGAUCCAGCCAUGCCGCGUGAGUGAUGAAGGCCUUAGGGUUGUAAAGCUCUUUCACCGGAGAAGAUAAUGACGGUAUCCGGAGAAGAAGCCCCGGCUAACUUCGUGCCAGCCGCCGCAGUAA
rnacentral:rRNA from 1 species